AGUUAAUGAGCUUGAUAAAGCAUAUAUUUUGAAAAUAUAAAAUAGAAAAUAUCCUUUCUAUUAACUU
rnacentral:tRNA from 1 species